AUUGAACGCUGGCGGCAUGCCUUACACAUGCAAGUCGAACGGCAGCACGGGUGCUUGCACCUGGUGGCGAGUGGCGAACGGGUGAGUAAUACAUCGGAACAUGUCCUGUAGUGGGGGAUAGCCCGGCGAAAGCCGGAUUAAUACCGCAUACGAUCUACGGAUGAAAGCGGGGGACCUUCGGGCCUCGCGCGAUAGGGUUGGCCGAUGGCUGAUUAGCUAGUUGGGGGGGGAAAGGCCUACCAAGGCGACGAUCAGUAGCUGGUCUGAGAGGACGACCAGCCACACUGGGACUGAGACACGGCCCAGACUCCUACGGGAGGCAGCAGUGGGGAAUUUUGGACAAUGGGCGAAAGCCUGAUCCAGCAAUGCCGCGUGUGUGAAGAAGGCCUUCGGGUUGUAAAGCACUUUUGUCCGGAAAGAAAUCCUUGGCCCUAAUACGGUCGGGGGAUGACGGUACCGGAAGAAUAAGCACCGGCUAACUACGUG
rnacentral:rRNA from 1 species